UACGUAGGGUGCGAGCGUUAAUCGGAAUUACUGGGCGUAAAGGGCGCGCAGGCGGCGCAUUUUGUCAGGCGUGAAAGCCCCGGGCUUAACCUGGGAACUGCGUUUGAUACGGAUGGGCUAGAGUUCGGGAGAGGAGAGUGGAAUUCCCAGUGUAGAGGUGAAAUUCGUAGAUAUUGGGAAGAACACCGGUGGCGAAGGCGGCUCUCUGGACCGAGACUGACGCUGAGGCGCGAAAGCCAGGGGAGCAAACGGG
rnacentral:rRNA from 1 species